rnacentral:rRNA from 1 species
CUACGGGCUGCACCAGUGGGGAAUAUUGCACAAUGGGCGCAAGCCUGAUGCAGCCAUGCCGCGUGUAUGAAGAAGGCCUUCGGGUUGUAAAGUACUUUCAGCGGGGAGGAAGGGAGUAAAGUUAAUACCUUUGCUCAUUGACGUUACCCGCAGAAGAAGCACCGGCUAACUCCGUGCCAGCAGCCGCGGUAAUACGGAGGGUGCAAGCGUUAAUCGGAAUUACUGGGCGUAAAGCGCACGCAGGCGGUUUGUUAAGUCAGAUGUGAAAUCCCCGGGCUCAACCUGGGAACUGCAUCUGAUACUGGCAAGCUUGAGUCUCGUAGAAGGGGGUAGAAUUCCAGGUGUAGCGGUGAAAUGCGUAGAGAUCUGGAGGAAUACCGGUGGCGAAGGCGGCCCCCUGGACGAAGACUGACGCUCAGGUGCGAAAGCGUGGGGAGCAAACAGGAUUAGAUACCCUCGUAGUC